AGGGUUUGGAUCAUGGCUCAGCCUAAACGCUGGCGGCAUGGCUAAAGCAUGCAAGUCGCACGAGAAGCAACUUCGGUUGUGGACAGUGGCGAAAGGGCGAGUAAUGCGAUCGAAUGUGCCCCGAGGUGGAGGAUAGGUCAGAGAAAUCUGGCGUAAUACUCCAUGUCCUCUACGGAGAAAAGGUUUACCGCCUUGGGAGCAGCGAUCGUCCUAUCAGGUUGUUGGUGAGGUAAAGGCUCACCAAGCCAAAGACGGGUAGCGGGUGUGAGAGCAUGACCCGCCGCAUCGGGACUGAGACACUGCCCGGACUCCUACGGGAGGCUGCAGCGACGAAUCUUCCGCAAUGGGCGAAAGCCUGACGGAGCAAUGCCGCGUGUGGGAUGAAGCGCCUCUGGUGUGUAAACCACUGUCAGAUUCUAGAAACAAUGAUCAGAGUCAAAGGAAGGGCCGGCUAACCUCGUGCCAGCAGCCGCGGUAAUACGAGGGGCCCAAGCGUUAGGCGGAAUCACUGGGCUUAAAGCGUACGCAGGCGGAUUUGCAAGCGUCUUGUGAAAACCCACGGCUCAACCGUGGAAGUGCAGGGCGAACUGCAAGUCUUGAGGCAGGUAGGGGUCAACGGAACUGUCGGUGGAGCGGUGAAAUGUGUAGAUAUCGACAGGAACGCCGGUGGCGAAGGCGGUUGACUGGGCCUGUCCUGACGCUCAGGUACGAAAGCGUGGGGAGC
rnacentral:rRNA from 1 species